GGAACCAACGUGGCGGAGAGCGGAGUCAACAGAAGAAAAGACGGCUGUGGUGGUGAGCGAGCGAUGCGCAUCUGGAUCGAGACUCACUACUGCACUUUAUCCCUGCUGGAGCUGACAGGAAGUAAACGUGGACCAAAGCAGAAUGGGAAUGAAAUGGUCUCUUGUCAUUGUGUGCGUCACAUUUAAGAAUAAACAGACUGAUGUUUAUCAGUUUUGAAACACA